rnacentral:rRNA from 1 species
AACGAACGCUGGCGGCAUGCCUAACACAUGCAAGUCGAACGAGACCUUCGGGUCUAGUGGCGCACGGGUGCGUAACGCGUGGGAACCUGCCCUUAGGUUCGGAAUAACUCCCCGAAAGGGGUGCUAAUACCGGAUAAUGUCUUCGGACCAAAGAUUUAUCGCCUUUGGAUGGGCCCGCGUUGGAUUAGCUAGUUGGUAGGGUAAAAGCCUACCAAGGCGACGAUCCAUAGCUGGUCUGAGAGGAUGAUCAGCCACACUGGGACUGAGACACGGCCCAGACUCCUACGGGAGGCAGCAGUAGGGAAUAUUGGACAAUGGGCGAAAGCCUGAUCCAGCAAUGCCGCGUGAGUGAUGAAGGCCUUAGGGUUGAAAAGCUCUUUUACCCGGGAUGAUAAUGACAGUACCGGGAGAAUAAGCUCCGGCUAACUCCGUG